ensembl:lncRNA
CUGGAGACCGGGGUUCAAGUCCGGUUGAUGUCCUCUGUUGGAAGACUCAUAUCUCUAUUUCAUGCAAAUUAUAAAGUCAAGCAUAAUCUUUGCGAUGACUUUAUCCGGUGUCUUGAUGGUGCAUUGAUAAGUUCGGAGGUUAACGCUCUAAACCGUUCAUGUUCGGAUCCCUGCAAAAAUGUCGACAGGGGUGUCACGGUCAGUAUAUAUUGGAAAACUUGAAGGGUAACUCUGUUGUUUUUUAUUGGUCGUCAUGAAAAAUACAUAAGGGGUAACAGUGUUGUUUUUUUAUUGGUCGUCAUGAAAAAAAACAUAAGGGGUAACACUGUCGUUUUUUAUUGGUCGUCAUUAAAAAAAACAUAAGGGGUAACACUGUUGUUUUUUAUUGGUCGUCAUGAAAAAAAACAUAAGGGGUAACACUGUUGUUUUUUAUCAGUUGUCAUAAAAAAAACA